rnacentral:ncRNA from 1 species
UUUAUGGACCUAAAGUUUUAUUAUUGUUUAAUAAAUUAGGUUAAAUUUGAUAUUUACAUGUAAAUUUUUAUAUAAUUUAAGCAUUAUUUUAAUAAUAAUGUUGAAAUUUUGUUCGCAGUAGAUAAUUUUAUAAAUUAAUGAAAGUUAGAUUUAGUUAAAAUUUUUAGUAUUAACAAAAUUUGUGCCAGCAGUUGCGGUUAUACAAAUAUUUCAACUUAAUUAAUUUUAGUAUUAAUAUGUUGAUUAUAAGUAAAUUUUAAAUGAAGUUUUAUUAGGUGAAAUUUUAAUUUUUAAACAAAUUUAUUUUUUUAGAUUAUUUGAUAGAUUUAAUAAGUAGACUAGGAUUAGAUACCCUAUUAUUAUAAAGGUAAAUUUUUUACUAGAUUAGUAUUAGUUAUGUUCUUGAAAAUUAAAGAUUUUGGCGGUUAUUUAGUCUAUUCAGAGGAACCUGUUCUGUAAAUGAUAGUCCACGAUUUAAAUUACCUUUUUUAUAAGCUUAUAUAUCGUCGUAACAGAAUAUUUUAUUAGAAUUGUAAUAUUCAAUAUUUAUUUUUUAAUGGAAAUCAGAUCAAGGUAUAGCGUAUAAGAAGGAAGAAAUGGGUUACAAUUAUUGUAAUAAAGGAUUGAUAGAUUGAGAAUUUUUAUGAAUUUGGAUUUGAAAGUAAUUUUAUAAAGAUUUUUAAAAUGAUUUUAGCUCUAAAUAAUGUACAUAUUGCCCGUCGCUUUCACCUUAAAGUGAAAUAAGUCGUAACAAAGUAGGCUUACUGGAAAGUGAGCCUAGAAAG